rnacentral:rRNA from 1 species
AUUGAACGCUGGCGGCAUGCUUUACACAUGCAAGUCGAACGGUAACAGGCUGCAAGGUGCUGACGAGUGGCGAACGGGUGAGUAAUGCAUCGGAACGUGCCCAGUCGUGGGGGAUAACGCAGCGAAAGUUGCGCUAAUACCGCAUACGAUCUAUGGAUGAAAGCGGGGGACCGUAAGGCCUCGCGCGAUUGGAGCGGCCGAUGUCAGAUUAGGUAGUUGGUGGGGUAAAGGCUCACCAAGCCGACGAUCUGUAGCUGGUCUGAGAGGACGACUAGCCACAGUGGGACUGAGACACGGCCCAGACUCCUACGGGAGGCAGCAGUGGGGAAUUUUGGACAAUGGGCGAAAGCCUGAUCCAGCAAUGCCGCGUGCAGGAUGAAGGCCUUCGGGUUGUAAACUGCUUUUGUACGGAACGAAAAAGCUCCUUCUAAUACAGGGGGCCCAUGACGGUACCGUAAGAAUAAGCACCGGCUAACUACGUGCCAGCAGCCGCGGUAACAC